UACGGAGGGGGCUAGCGUUGUUCGGAAUUACUGGGCGUAAAGCGCACGUAGGCGGCCCAGCAAGUUAGGGGUGAAAUCCCGGGGCUCAACCCCGGAACUGCCUUUAAAACUGUUGGUCUGGAGGUCGAGAGAGGUGAGUGGAAUUCCGAGUGUAGAGGUGAAAUUCGUAGAUAUUCGGAGGAACACCAGUGGCGAAGGCGGCUCACUGGCUCGAUACUGACGCUGAGGUGCGAAAGCGUGGGGAGCAAACAGG
rnacentral:rRNA from 1 species